GCGCACGCUGGCGGCGUGCUUAACACCUGCCAGUCGCACGGAAAGGCCCUGCUUUUGUGGGGUGCUCGAGUGGCGAACGGGUGAGUAACACGUGAGUAACCUGCCCUUGACUUUGGGAUAACUUCAGGAAACUGGGGCUAAUACCGGAUAGGAGCUCCUGCUGCAUGGUGGGGGUUGGAAAGUUUCGGCGGUUGGGGAUGGACUCGCGGCUUAUCAGCUUGUUGGUGGGGUAGUGGCUUACCAAGGCUUUGACGGGUAGCCGGCCUGAGAGGGUGACCGGCCACAUUGGGACUGAGAUACGGCCCAGACUCCUACGGGAGGCAGCAGUGGGGAAUAUUGCACAAUGGGCGGAAGCCUGAUGCAGCAACGCCGCGUGCGGGAUGACGGCCUUCGGGUUGUAAACCGCUUUCGCCUGUGACGAAGCGUGAGUGACGGUAAUGGGUAAAGAAGCACCGGCUAACUACGUG
rnacentral:rRNA from 1 species